GGAGAGAUGACCGAGCGGCCGAAGGUGCUCGCCUGCUAAGCGAGUGAGGGGGGAAACUUCCUCCG
rnacentral:tRNA from 1 species